GAAAUGUGGAAUGAAGCCUGAUUGGUCCAGAGUAUGUAUCUUUAUUGACAUGCAUAAUGCAUUAAGUGUCUCGUUAGGCUUUUUAUCUCUAAGGGGUAUCUAUUCCCCUAACCCCAUCUGGUAUGGAAAGACAUAAGAGGAAUGGUCCUUGUGGAUGAUGGCGUACCCUCUGACGAGAGUGGGAACGCGAAUAUCUGUUAGG
rnacentral:lncRNA from 1 species